rnacentral:rRNA from 1 species
CACGUGGGCAACCUACCUUAUAGUUUGGGAUAACUCCGGGAAACCGGGGCUAAUACCGAAUAAUCUAUUUUACUUCAUGGUGAAAUACUGAAAGACGGUUUCGGCUGUCGCUAUAAGAUGGGCCCGCGGCGCAUUAGCUAGUUGGUGAGGUAACGGCUCACCAAGGCGACGAUGCGUAGCCGACCUGAGAGGGUGAUCGGCCACACUGGGACUGAGACACGGCCCAGACUCCUACGGGAGGCAGCAGUAGGGAAUCUUCCACAAUGGGCGAAAGCCUGAUGGAGCAACGCCGCGUGAGUGAAGAAGGUUUUCGGAUCGUAAAACUCUGUUGUAAGGGAAGAACAAGUACAGUAGUAACUGGCUGUACCUUGACGGUACCUUAUUAGAAAGCCACGGCUAACUACGUGCCAGCAGCCGCGGUAAUACGUAGGUGGCAAGCGUUGUCCGGAAUUAUUGGGCGUAAAGCGCGCAACCUUACCAGGUCUUGACAUCCCGUUGACCACUGUAGAGAUAUGGUUUUCCCUUCGGGGACAACGGUGACAGGUGGUGCAUGGUUGUCGUCAGCUCGUGUCGUGAGAUGUUGGGUUAAGUCCCGCAACGAGCGCAACCCUUGAUUUUAGUUGCCAUCAUUUAGUUGGGCACUUUAAGGUGACUGCCGGUGACAAACCGGAGGAAGGUGGGGAUGACGUCAAAUCAUCAUGCCCCUUAUGACCUGGGCUACACACGUGCUACAAUGGACGAUACAAACGGUUGCCAACUCGCGAGAGGGAGCUAAUCCGAUAAAGUCGUUCUCAGUUCGGAUUGUAGGCUGCAACUCGCCUACAUGAAGCCGGAAUCGCUAGUAAUCGCG